AUCUAGGAUGAUUGCCAAAACAUACCUACAUUAUUUAAGAAAACAUCCAGAUGAAUCAGUAGGUGAUUUCAUGGAGAAAGUACAUGAAGAGAUGAAUGUUGAAAUCUCAGUGAGUCAAGUAUAUAGAGCAAAGAGAAUAGCUAAAGAGAUGAUCGAAGGUCACUACAAUGAACAAUAUGCAAAAUUAGAGAACUACUGUGCAGAACUCAAGAAAAAGAAUCUAGGAUCAACUGUAUUGCUAGAAACAAUACCCGGUGAAGAGGAUGGCAAACCUAAUUUUGAAAGAAUUUACAUAUGUCUUGAGCCAUGCAAAAGAGGUUGGAAAGCAGGUUGUAGGCCACUUAUAGGGAUGGAUGGUUGCUUUCUUAAAGGAGGUCAACUUUUGACAGCAAUUGGGAUAGAUGCUGAUAAUGGUAUGUUCCCUAUAGCCUAUGCUGUAGUUGAUGUUGAAGACAAGCAUAACUGGAAGUGGUUUUUGAAUUUGCUUGUGGAUGACUUGCGAAUUAGAUCAUCAUGAUAACUUAUGCCUCAUUACAGACAAACAAAGGGUUUGGAGGGAGCUAUUUACGAGACUGUUCCUAAAGUUGAGCACAGGCAUUGUGUAAGACAUUUGUACAAUAAUUUCAAGAAAGUGCAUAAAUGUUUAUCAUUGCAGACAAGGGUUUGGAAAGCUGCCAAGGCAACUCAUGUAAGUAUAGAUAUGAGAUGGAUAUGUUGGAAAAGGAGGACAAAGAAGCAAGAAACUGGUUCAACAAUAAACCACCCAAAUUCUGGAGCAAGUCACAUUUUAGAACAACAACAAAGUGUGAUAGACUUUUGAAUAAUCUUUGUGAGUCAUUUAAUGGGAUAAAACCAGUUUUAAAGGCAAGGGCGAAACCUAUACUUGGAUUGCUUAAAGGAAUUAGAGUAUACCAGAUGAAAAGAAUGAAUCAAAAGAGGGAGGUGCUCCAAUACCAAGGAAGUUUAUGCCCUCGAAUCCAGAUACUAGUAGAAGAAAAGAAAAAAGAGGCAGUUGCAUCAAUUCCUACUUGGGCUGGACAAUUUUUAUUUCAAGUAAAAACUAUGUAUGAUGAACAAUUUCGUGUGGACUUGAACGGAAGAACCUGCUCUUGCAGGGAGUGGGACCUUACUGGAAUCCCACGCUCACAUGCAAUGAGCUGCAUGUUCAAUAUAAGAGAGAAUCCAGAAAACUUCAUAAAUGAUUGUUACAAGAAGGCUACUCAAAUGACGAUUUAUGAGCCAGUCAUUGCUCCAAUGGAUGGACCUGAUAUGUGGGAAAAAACUGAUCUACUUCCUAUUCAACCUCCUAAUUAUGAGCCGAAGAAAGGUAAGUUGGACAAAAAAAGAAAAAAAGAACCUGAUGAAAUUGAAGCCUCCAAGAGAAAAGCCGCGGAGAUGAAAAAACAGAGAAGAGACAAAAAGAAAAAACAAUACAUCAAGUGAAUUGAAUUGAAUACAACAGCCACAAAUGUUACCAAAUUGAGUAAGAAAGGGAGGUUAAGGAGGUGUAGCAAGUGCUUGCAAACUGGUCACUAUAAAACAACUUGCAAGAAGAACUGUGAUUCUCCAAAUUCAACAGCUCCACCUCCAGCUACACCAACAACUCGAGGUUGGUCCCAAAAUGCUACAAAUCAAUCCCACCUAAGUAAGCAAAUCCAUUUUGAGUCCACUAAUUGGAUUGGACAUAUAAAUGAACCUUCUAAACUCAAUCCAAGAAGGCCAGCGGAGGACGGUUCAUAUCAGAUGCUUGCACAAGCUCAAGUUGGCAGUAUUGUGAGAAAUGCCGAGAAGUACAAGUGGGAUGGAAAAAAUUAUAUUAGCUUACAAAGCCUUAAUACAAGUGCUUCGAUGAAGUCCAACAAAAGGAGCUUUGACAAUGAAGAAAAUAGAAGCAAUUAACAUAUGAAGAACUACAUCAACAAUACAUUUUAAUUUCAUAGCUAUUUUAUUUUUUAUUUUUUAAGGGAUAUU